rnacentral:lncRNA from 1 species
GACAAAGGCAAGAUGGGGUUUGGGCAGAAGGAGGGAGUGGGCACUGCUGCCUCUGAGAGGAAGGUGGUUGGUGCUACAGCCAGAGCAAGACCUAGAGAACUUGGUCUCCUGCCUCACUUCAGAGCUCUGAUAGGUACACAGACCCCCUACCCCAAGACAGCAGGAUGAGGCGGUGGUUUCCCUCCCACAGAGCCCCCAAAACAACGCCACAGUUAUAGCUAACACCACUUCCAGCUGACUGGUAGGCCCGGGGUAACCUUCUCCCACUGGCAGGCAGCAGAAGUCUCAGGGAGGCCAUGAGUGGCUCCACGUGAUCACACGGGGCACUGGGUGGGAUAGGUAGAUGCCUGUCCCCAUGGCCAGCAGCUCCGGAGCAGCUCCUCAGCUUGUGUCUUGCAUCUCUUUCAGCCUCCGGGAGGAGUUCCUGGGACACAGCCAUUGCUGCCCAAUUCUAUGGAUCCCACACGACAACAAGGCCACCCCAACAUGGGAGGAUCAAUGCAGAGAAUGAACCCUCCCCGAGGCAUGGGGCCCAUGGGUCCCGGCCCACA